rnacentral:tRNA from 1 species
GAGGGUAUAGCUCAGUGGUAGAGUGUGUGUUUAGCAUGUACGAGGUCCUGGGUUCCGUUCCCAGUACCUUCA